UACAGUCUCCACCACCCAAACCAAAACUUAUCUUGUUCUCCUCGUCUUUUUUAUUUUCUUCUCAACCGGGAUCUUGUAAAUCAAAACCCCUUGUCCCUCUCCCUCAGCCAAAACUUGUGAACCAAUAUUAUCCUCAGCUAAAUCUAGAUCCUUUAAAAUCGAACCUAUCUUUUGUAGACAUAAAUCAAACUCAAUUUUCUAUAAAUCAAAGAUUCAAAACCCAUUAGAAAUCAAACCUAAUUUUACUUACCCAAAUUUCGCUUUAAACCCUAGAUAUGUGAUUUUUUCUUAUAUGAAAUGAGUUUACCGGUGAAACCUACUGAAGAGCUAGGGUUUCAUAAGAAGUUCAAAGAAGAAUUAGAAGAUGAAAUUGAUGUUUAGAAAAGGGGAUUUGAGAUGGGUAUUGACCGAUUGAGUGAACUAGGGUCGAGGAUGAAGAGUAAUUCAAGAUUGAAGAAGUUAGGGUUUUGAAGCUGACAUUGAUUGGAAAUCAGAAGGUUGAGGGAAUAGUAAAUUAGGGUUCUAUGAUGAAGAUCGUGGAGUGUUGGUCGUAUAGUUGCAGUUAGUGGUUCAGUAGAUGAUUGCAGAUGCUGAUUACAGGUAACUCUAAAUUUGUAAUUGGGAUUGAUGUAGUUUUGAAUAAGUCAUAAGAUAGGUCUGAGCUUGAUAAUAUUAUGAUGACAUGAAUGGUAAUAUUUGUUGCAAGAAGAAGAUUUGUGUCUUAGAUUUGGUAGAAAUGGAAUUGCGUACUUAGUAGUGGUUUAGUGAACUACAGGAUUUCUAGAGAUGGUAAAUGGAAAUGAAAAUGGAGUUGGGAUUGUAGGUGGUGGUAGUUUCAGGUAAUGAAUCAAUAUGGAAGUUGAGUAGAUGUUGUUGAGUUUAAGUCACAAUGGCUGUGAAUGAAAAAUUGAAAGAAUGGAGAUGGUACAUCACGAAAAAUAUGAAGAAGAGUUGAUGGCGGUUGUGUAAGUGAUAAAAAUUUGGCAGUGACGAUAGUGAAAUUUGGUGGUAGUUGGUAAGUGUUGCAAAAUUAUUUUUAUCAAAAUCAGAUCUAAAGUUUUUGUAGAUUUUAGUAAUAUCAAGACCAGAUUUGAGGAUAGUUAUACCCUUCUCUCUCUGGAUUUGGAGUUCGUGUCGAGUCCUUAGUUUCCCUAUGUUUUUAUAUUAGUUUUACAUUAUGCCCCUAUUUUAAAGCUACAACCAGUUGGAUGAUCCAGUGGUUUUGACAAUUUUCAAGUGUGCAAAUAAGCUUCUUGCUAGUAUAAAAGCAUGAAAGAAUCUAACAGAAGCUUCAUAAGGUUGCAGUACAACAAACUUAAGAUGCUAAAAAUAAUUUCAUUGUCCCUGAAGUUGUAAAGGAUCAUGCCAAACUGGGUUCAAUUACAGAUGCAUCAGGGUGUGGUACGUGCAUGAUACUAUGAUAGUCAUUCACUUUGGUAUAAAAGAGGUUGGUGACGGAAGGUGUUCGCGAAACGUUCUCAUAGAUGGCACCUGAACUUCUUGGUGGGAAAAGCAACAUGGUACUGAAACGGCAUAGCUAUACAGAUAUUUAUGGUGCUUCUCUGAUUGUUGCAUGCCACUGUGAUGAAUGCUCGGCACAGGAAUAGUUUCAGUAUUCAGAAGAAAAGGUGCGCAUGAAGAUAUCCGUACUCAAAGCCUAGAGUUUUAUUAAAUGUUAGUGAUAUUGUGUAUCUCGUAUUAUGUGUCUUUCUUAAUUUAUUUUAAUCAACACAUUAUUAUAUUUAUAUCACUCGAGAGAUUUUCAUUUAUAUAAUAUCAGAGUGUUUGGGUUUGUAUCGGGAUUGGUUUAUGUAAUUAUGAUUCUUAAAAUGGGUAAUCUAGAUAUGAUGCUUCU